rnacentral:rRNA from 1 species
UACGUAGGGCGCAAGCGUUGUCCGGAAUUAUUGGGCGUAAAGAGCUCGUAGGCGGCUUGUCACGUCGGGUGUGAAAGCCCGGGGCUUAACCCCGGGUCUGCAUUCGAUACGGGCUGGCUGGAGUGUGGUAGGGGAGAUCGGAAUUCCUGGUGUAGCGGUGAAAUGCGCAGAUAUCAGGAGGAACACCGGUGGCGAAGGCGGAUCUCUGGGCCAUUACUGACGCUGAGGAGCGAAAGCGUGGGGAGCAAACAGG